UCCUCAAUGGUGCAAAUGGUUAACAUGCUUAGCUGCUAACUAAAAGAUUGGCAGUUCAAGUCUAUCCUGAGGUG
rnacentral:tRNA from 1 species